CUUUGUUAAUGAAAAUAGGGUAAAAAAAACUCAUGAAGUUUCUGUUGUCAUUAGCUUCAUGUUCCAAACCCAGGAGCUAGGAGUUAAAUAACAACACUAAAUUU